GUUGACCUGUGCUUUGUCCCUUUCCAGGUCUGGGAACAAAGGGCACGGAGACGGUGUACAGUGAAAUCCGGAAAGCUGACCCAGAGUUCGUGGAAAACAGAUAUUCUAGAACGGAAGGCUCCCCUGAUGGAACUUAGGACUCCGAGAGCACACGCUCCUCCCUGGGAGGACACCCACAUUCUGAGAAGAGCAGAUGCUUCCUGUAUUCCAAGAGUUUUGUGCACUUAUUUAUGAACCUGCCCUGCUCCCCCCGAACGUGGCAAUUCCUCAGGCCAAGUCACCAGUUCUUAAAUCCAUCUUAACUACAUUUAUGUUGGGUAUAAAGGGUUAACAGAGGGGCUGGUUAAUUUCCCACACGGCCCGCCUCCCACCAAGCCAGAGCAUCCUCAGGAGUGGAGAGAAGCAGCAGAAGGUUCAGAGUAAACUGGCCACUGAGAUAUUUUGAAACUUGAAUAUUUUGUCUUGUACAGAGAUCAAGAACUUUUCCAAGUCCCCUCAUACACAGAAACCAGUUUCUGUUUUGUAGUCAAUCUCUCCUAGCGAAUGGCCUGACUUGGGGGCUAGUUUUUCUCUUUGCCUUUGGUCCUUCAAGGGUCUGUGGUUCUGGGCAGCCCUUGCUCCUUGGAAGUACACAGAAUGGGCCAGACAGCUGCCCCCUGUCCCCUCUACCACCUCACCUGCCACAGACGGGAAAACAGAGCUGCUUGGGAGCAUCCCCUUGGAGAUGCCAACUGGAAGAGGAGGUUCAUUGUGUGCAAUGCACCAAAUAGAAAAUGAAGUUGGGCAAAGCACAGAUGUUCUUAGGCUGGUUUUCUAUCCCCUCUCUUUCUUUUCCUCUACCAUGCUGAAGGCCGAAGGACAGGAAGAUGGUUGCCUCCAGCAAAUAUUUUUUUUUACUAGAAAAAUGAAAUGCCUAUUUUUCUUACUAAUUUUUUGUUAUUUAUUCCUUGCUAAAGGAAUGGUCUCCCGAGGUCUUCACAUGUUUCUGAUGGUGCCCUGAGUGGGUGGAUGAGGGGCUGCGGCCAUUCUGCAGGGGGAUCGCACUAGUGAGCACACCCAAGUGAGACCACCUCCCUUGUCCUCCUCACUGACACAGCUGCAGGGAUCCUGAGGGGUGUUGUAUUAAAUAAAUUUGAUCUUUACUCUUCACAGACCUGUGA